rnacentral:sRNA from 1 species
CCCCUAGAACCUGGCAAAGUAAC